rnacentral:rRNA from 1 species
GUGGGGAAUCUUGCGCAAUGGGCGAAAGCCUGACGCAGCCAUGCCGCGUGAAUGAUGAAGGUCUUAGGAUUGUAAAAUUCUUUCACCGGGGACGAUAAUGACGGUACCCGGAGAAGAAGCUCCGGCUAACUUCGUGCCAGCAGCCGCGGUAAUACGAAGGGGGCUAGCGUUGCUCGGAAUUACUGGGCGUAAAGGGCGCGUAGGCGGACAGCUUAGUCAGAGGUGAAAGCACAGGGCUCAACCUUGGAAUUGCCUUUGAUACUGGCUGUCUUGAGUGUGGGAGAGGUGAGUGGAACUCCGAGUGUAGAGGUGAAAUUCGUAGAUAUUCGGAAGAACACCAGUGGCGAAGGCGACUCACUGGCCCAAUACUGACGCUGAGGCGCGAAAGCGUGGGGAGCAAACAGGAUUAGAUACCCCGGUAGUCC